CAGUGGGGGCUUGAAAUACAGCCCUAGUUGACCCGCCUAAGUCUUAACUGACUCCGUUAUUUGGGUCACGACACUCCUUUCUCCUUUGAUGCGUAGCUAGUUUUCUGCUCUGUCGCUGAGUAUUAAACAGCCAUUUGGGAGGCAGUGUACUCAGCCGAAAAAGCCUUGAUAACAUUGGCAAAGCUAACUUUAC
rfam:Planktothrix serta PCC 8927 isolate BBR_PRJEB10992 genome assembly, scaffold: BBR_A_PL8927_scaffold118